AGGUGACGAGGAGUGGGUCCCUCAGAGUUACAUCUGAAAAACAAAGACCAUAAAACUAGGAGGGAGAGCUUUCGGGCAGAUGGAGGUGUUUGUUAGGAGUGGGUAGUGAGGGUGAGUAUGCACUACGGUGUGUGUGUGUGUGUGUGUGUGUGUGAGCACGAGAUCAGAGAAGAGCCAACACCAUUUUGAAUCCCAAAACUGCACGAGGCUUGAUAGUUAUAGCAAGUAUUAUUUGGGAAUUAUGAUUGACAGUGGCUAAAUAUGACCUGUUAAAAAAAGUUAAGGAUUAGAUACAGUCUUGGUCCCUUGGGUAGUGGAGAAGGGUUUCCUGGCACAGAUUAGAAAACAGUCUUUAAGGAAAUAGAAACCGAGAGGUCAAAGGUCAGCUCUCAUGGGAUUAUACCCUAAACCCAAGCCAACAAUGGCUUCCUGCCUCAAUUUUAGAUGCCCUGAACCAAUGCUACUCCAUUUUCUUUUUCUUUUUUUGGUUCUUUUUUUCGGAGCUGGGGACCGAACCCAGGGCCUUGCGCUUCCUAGGUAAGCGCUCUACCACUGAGCUAAAUCCCCAGCCCUGCUACUCCAUUUUCAUUGUUUUCCUUGGUAGCAAGUAGGGUCUCGACAAAUGAAAUCAAAUUAAGAUGAGGUCCUGCUGGAUUAGCAUGGGCUCUACUAUUAUAUGAUUGUUUUUUUUUUUAUAAGAAAGGGGUUGGGCCUCAGCUCCAGAAAAAAAAAGGGGGGGGGUUGGGAAUGCAGCUCAGGAGGUCCUGUUCCCCGAUUGUUUACUUUGUUUACUGUGUAUGAGGGCCUAAGUUCAGUCUCUAGGACCAUACACAAGAGGAAAGGGGAUGCAACUUGUUGCGUGUAGUUUUAUACUCUACCCACCUUUGCUGCCUUUGUUCCAGGAUCAGGGAUUGCACUACCACCCCGUCACCCGGCUUCCUUUUAGUCCUCGGAUAAAAGACACACACACACACACACACACACACACACACACACAGAGUUGUCCCUCUUCAAUGGGUGCUCAUCUCUGCCUGGAAACGUAUGCCCUUAUCAGUUUCUUAUCUUCGUCUCUCCCACCUGCCCUAAACUUCAGUUGCUAAAGUCUCCUGACCACUCUCCUGUAAGAGGGGCCUGUGGGGGUCACACACCAUUUUGAGAUCUCACAUGGCAGCCCGGUUCUCUUCUCUCCAAGCACGGCAACUCCAUUCUCCUUCCUUUGACCUCCUUGCCUCUUCCAGGAACCCAGAAGUCCCACCCGUCCCUUCUACACAGCAAUUGGCCCAUGACUUUCUUUACUGACAGAUCAAGAACCAAUCGGGGAACAGGACCUUAGCAUCAGCACCGUAACUCAUGGAUGAAUACUUGUCUAGCAUGCGUGAAGACCUGGUUUAGAGAGAUAGAUACACAGAGAAAGGUGGGGGAGGGGAGAGAGAGAGAGAGAGAGAGAGAGAGAGAGAGACAGAGAGACAGAGAGAGACAGAGACAGAGACAGAGAGAGACUGACUGACUGACUGACUGACUGAAUGAAUGAAUGAAUGAAUGAAUGUAGACAGAAGGAGACCGCCAUGUGAAGAAGCAACGUCUCAGGCUAUUUUGAGAGACAGAUCUUCCCUAGAAGCUUCCAAGACAGCACGGCUCUACCACCACUCUGGACACUCUGAUUUCUGACUUCAAACCUCAAAAACUGUAAGAGAAUGAAUAUUUGUUGUCUGGAGCCACCCAGUUUUCAAGUACUUCGUUACAAGAGCCUCAAGACACACAGAGGAGACGUGGCCUGCCGUCACAGAACUCUCACAGUCUUUGGAGGCAGGACAGCCCCGAAUGAAUAGAGGGUGAUGGCAGACUCUGGUUCGGUGUUCUGGAAGAAUUAAAUGGGGUCGGCUUUGGUUUUUACUGGGAGAAGAGCUCACAGUGGCAGGAGGGAGGGGCUCUCCAGAUUUUGAGGGAAGGGCCAUUAGAGAAAGGUCACAGAGGCGGGAGAGUCGUAGACAGACUGACAAGGCGGUUCUAGUAGAUGCUGGUGGCUUGAAGAGGAGAACUGGGAUUCAGAUGCUGUGUGACAGACAGUAGGAUCCUGCUGGUGGGCUAGGUAUGCAGAUAUCAGGAUGAGGUGGAUGACUUAAGCCAAAGCCAUUUGUUUUGGAGUAAAUGUAAAGAUAUUAAUUGAAAUCAGGAAGGUUUGGGAAGACGUGUUAAGGGAAGGGGUUGGGGGGGGGGAGAACAAUCGAUAGUUCUGUCAGGUCAAAACAUCUUUAUGAAAAGGUCAGCAAACCGUACGUCAUUGGAGCAGCAAGACAGCUCUCAAGUUUAGCACCCUUCACCCUGUCUGUGGAAGACACCUUCCAGAUAGGGAAGCCUGCAGUGAGAGUUUCUUUCUUCCUAUUAGAAGCCUCCUCUCUCUCCAGGGCUGUGCCGUGUGUGAGCCCUGGUCACUUGAAUAACCGCUAACACUUAGAGACUUGCUAAGCAACACUGACAUUGUCAAACCCUUCGCAAAGUGCGCGGAGCUUCAAAAGCUUCCCGGGACACCCUCAGUGCAAAUCCAGCUUCUUCAGCAGGGUGGGGGCUCUUGGGGCUUCCAGGAUAAGCUGGGUGGAAGGCUUGGGGGAGGCUGUAGGUGACCUUGGACAGUAUCCCAAGGGCUCUAGGCUCCCAACUGCUCAGCCAAUUAAAGGAGAAACCUUUUUUUGCUUUGCAUGGCCUCACUCCCCUGUACAAAGACCUUGAAGAGAGAAACACCUGCAGUGUGGCAGGCCUCACUUUUCACUGCUGACUCAGAAAUAGCAUCUACAUGGCACAAUCAGAGAUCAAUUAAAAUGCACCAUUCUGGUUUGCCCCCACUAGGCGCCCCAGGGCACAUCCUCUCACUUUCAGGGUCCCCUAAGAGGUGUUUUUUUUUUCUUUUCCUGCCUAAUUAAGUUGAAGCCUAGCAGCCUGAGAAGGAUAACAUGUCACAUGUCACAUAUAAGAAGGAGCACUGCACAGGGAGCCUAAGACCCGGGACUUGUUCAGGCUCUGCUAGAACUAUUUUCCCAGGCUGUAAGCAAGACAUUGUCUCACUGACCUUAGACCCCUCAGUAAACCAGGUAGUGAUUGCUUCCUUUUCUAUCUGGCUGCUUGGGGCAAUCAUCUUAGAAUAGAGACUAUACACAUGACCAUGCCUUUUCACACAGCAUAUACAAUACGAAUGUGUAUGUAUGAUAUAUAUAUUAUUUAUGUGUGUGUGCGUGUGUGCGUGUGUGUGUGUGCGUGUGUGUGUGUAUGUGUGUGUGUGUGUGUGUUUGUGUGAUUUUUUUGAGACAGGAUUUCAAUAUGUAGUUGGAACUCUCUCUGUGUAGACAAAGCUGGCUAUGAACCACCAUUGACCUUAGAGCCCACCUAAAAAAAAAAAUGCUGCUAAGCCAGGCAGCGUAGGUCUAGCACUCAGGGGGCUGAGGCAGGAGGAUCACAAGUUCACGUUCAGCCAUGAGGAUAUAUUAAGAUUGUCACAAAUAUAAAAGUGAAAACACAUCUUUUUCUAGUUUCAAAGGCAUUUGAGGGAAGAAAUGAUGAUUCUUGAAUUCCCAGAGCUCUCGAAGCUCAAAUAACUUCUCUUGGGCCUCAGUGGUCCUGAGAGGGGCUGUAAUUGGAUCCCUUAAAAUAACUGCAACAGGGGGUUCUGGGAGAAUUGUCAGAUUUGGCAAAUAUAAAUAUAGGACAUUCAGUUAAAUCUGAAUUUUAGAUAAACAGUGAAUAUUUUUAGUGAGUAUCUUCCAAGUACAGCAUGGGAUAUAAUCAUACCGACUUCAUUGUUUAUCUGAAUUUAAAUGUAAGCAGACACCUUCUGUUUUAUCCAACUCUGCAGGAUGUGUGGAGGCACCAACUGGGAUUCAGCAAGGUACUCAGAGCCCAAAACUCUUCCCCUGUGUCUGCAGGAGAGGGCUCUGGUUCAGCGAAGGGUCUCCUUGUUUCUGAGGUCUCAGGGUAAGGAAACCGUCUGCUGUCCCUAAGUGGGUGCACAGUUCCGAGGGUACAUGUGUGCCAUUGUCCAAAUGUGUGCUACAAUAAUUCUAGCUGGCAUGGACUAUAGCCUCAAAGACUUGAGAGCACAGGUUUUGGCCCUUACCUAAAGGAAGGGAGAUUGUAUUCACAGUGGACAAGAAAAGGUCAGGAGUUUGCAAGUUAGGCAGGAGGUCCAGAAAGAAAACAUGGUUCAGGACACCUCCCAGCACAGGCUCCUGACCAGGGAACCAGUCACAUGUGCAUGAGUGUGUCCCCAUGCCAUUCUUUACUGAGGGAGGACCCUGGAGGCAGGGGUGAGCCUUGGACAGAGGUGAAGGGAAGCCUCAGAGAGAACGCACUCCAGCAAUGCUUCCCUGGCAACAGCGUCCGCGACUCUCUUCUGAGGCUUGCAGCAUGGGAAGUGAGAGAGCAGAACUGGAUGCCAGUCAGGCUAUAGCCCAGGCUCACUUAGACACUAUAGACACUUGGCAGCCAUCGUCUGUCUUUCUUUCUCUUCUGUGUUAGCCUACUUGGUGCUGCUGUCAUCCAAUAGCACCAGCCAGGUAACUUAGACACAGUGGAAGUUUAUCUGGCUCAUGGUUCUGCAGGCUGGAAGUCAAUAGAUCGAGUGGCCACCUCUGGGAGGAGCUUCACGAUGCCUUAUCAAAUGGGGUGGGGUGGAGGACAUGGACAGGCAGCCGGACAGACAGACGGGAGACUGAGUUCAUCAGAAGCCCACCCCUUCCACACCUUCGUGACCUCUCCACCUCUGGAUACUGCUGCAGUGGGGACUAAGUUUUAAUCACAGGAACCAUGGGGGAGCCCAUAAACCCACAGCACCUUCCUUCUUGCCUUUCCUCAUUACUCCUCAUCAAUGACUAUGAGCCUUCGUCUGAUCUUCAGAAGGGAAUCGGCCAUUAGUCCACUUACAGGACGCUUCCACACCGUGCUUCCCAAGUUAAGGGAAAAAACUGAUGACUGGGAGAUCCCGUCCAGCUGGGGAAGGCAGAGGCACAGGAAGGCUUCCAGAAACAUCUCUGUGUUCCAAGCCGAAGAAGGCAGAGCCUGUGGAAAGAGAGAAGCAGGGCAGAGCUGACAGAAGGGAGAGGCAGAGGGGACAGGGGGAGAUACGCACACCUUCAGAUCACCCUGAAGUAGGCUUGGGCUUCAGACUCCCACCCAAGGGGAAGCAAACUUUGCAGCACUCCAGGAUGCUCAGGGCCACAGAUUGGCCUCUUGUUUAUCUGUUUUCCCCUUUUCUCCUGUGUUGAGCAUACCUUUAUCUGUCGGAGGCUCAUUUAUAAUUUAGGCAACCUCCUUCGGGGGAGCAGGUGUUUUCUGGGAUGAAGCACCUUGGGAAGCAGAAUGCACAAGUGUUAAAAAAGCUCGCCACAGCACAGCCAAGCAGAUGUUCGAGUGCAGGCAAGGACAGAGGGAAGAGGAGGGUGGUUAGGGUAAGAAGACAGGGAGAGGAAGGGAAGGUUCGAGAAAGAAGGAUCCCUGUGCACCUCCUCUACCUUCCUUCUACCCCAAUGAACAACAGUUCAUUGUUGGGAUGCUUUUGGGUCUGAACAGCUCCUCCUCUCUUCCUCCUCCUCCUCUACCUCCUCUUCCUCCUCCUCCUCCUCCUUUUCUUUCAUAGUGCUUUUAACAAGGACUGACUCUGUAGUCCACGCUUACCGUGAACCUCUUGGUCAUCUUCUGGCUGCAGUCUUCCUAGAGCUGGGAUUGCAGACAUGAUGCCACCAUGUCUGGUGACGGCCUCUCCUUCAAGACUGCUUUUUCAAAUGGCUAAGAUUCUCAUGACAGACCUUCUACCCUGGCAUCCCCAGGGUUUGCAUAAGAUAGAGGCUCAAACUUACCUGCUUUCCUAGGUGGAAGAGAGGCAGUCACUGGAAGGGCACACUUUCACAACUUUGCACUGCCUGCCACUGGUCAGGUAAGGAGUGUUAGAUCGUCAGAGCCUCACACUGAUCAUGGCUGCUCAGCCUGAGGGAGCCAAAGAGCCUUAUUCCAGCUCUCACCUUCUGGUGAACACUCUGAUCUACACUCUCACAGACCACAUAGGAGUGCGUAAGCACUCGCCAGGCCGAAGAGGUGUCAGGGUCAUCAGAGAAGCCAGUGACUCAUGGUGGAUGGUGUGAGACACUGUCACAUUACACCAGGGAACCCAUGCAGAGGGCAUCACCACAGUGAAAUCCGGAGCUGGAACAAGAGGCCUUGAGAGAAGCCAGAGUAUCUGGAACUACCCAAAGAAUGUGCAGGGAGCAGUGUGUCUCAUUAACAGCUCUCUUCUUCGUCACCACUUUGUCCUUUGACAGGUGUCUGCCCCUAGCGAACUGAGGGCAGGAGCCUGGGCGCAGAGAAGGUUGGCGGUGGGUGGAGGUGCUUGGAGCAAACAGCGGGGACAGGCUGGUUUCCAGCAAGCUGGCUUGCCCACGCUGACCCAGACUGGGGUGCGGCUGUGAUUCCAAUCUCCCUGGGAACCGGUUUGAGCUUUGAGGAAGGCAGAUUCCCCCCAGAGGACCCCAGGGAGCAAGUCCAACCCAAACAAAGCUGGAGGCAUUAAAGGGACUCCUGAGUACUUGGCGUUAUUAAUGGGCUGUUCGAGCUGCGGAAAUCAAUGGCUGCUUAGAAAGGACUUUGCGGAAGAAACCAGUUCAGAUUAAGAAAAAGGAAAAACAAAUACUUGGCUCUUUAGGAGGCCCCCAGGGUGAGGCAGGGUUUCCCUAGCUCCAUGCUGCUGUCACCCAUUGAUUGGCAGAUGCCAAGGAAGGUCUGUGUGUUAAGUAGAAAUUAAUGUCUAGACUGAUUUUUUUCAUCAACUUCUCUUCAUCUAGCUGAAAAGCCCAGAUUCCAAAAGAGAAAAACCUAUUGUUGUCCAAAACCUUCUUUCCCAGAGAACCCAGGAUACAAACCAAAAAGGUGUGUAAGGCUUUGGGGACGAAACUGAAAUGCUGGUGCUUUCCCACUUGGCAGGGGAAGUCCAGACGGCUUUGAUCCGGUUUGAAUGAUCUGGCGUGUUAUAGAACAUUCUUCCCCAGGGCCCGGGAGCUUCUUUCUGCCCUACCCCCACCUCCCUUCUCACCCUCCCCAGGGAAAUAGGGGGUCAUCGCUACUGGAUCUGAUUGGCAGCUUGGGAGGCAGAGCAUGUGAUAGGGUCACGAUCCGUCCACAAGGACACUGUGAGGUGAAACUCUCUCUCUCUCUCUCUCUCUCUCUCUCUCUCUCUCUCUCUCUCUCUCUCUCGUUCUCAAUUUCCCCCACCCCCACCUUGAUUAAGUUGCCAUUUCAGAACAGAAGCUAUUGUAAAGACCCCGGAUUAAGGAGGGGGGACAGAAGGGCUGUGUUGGUUACCAAUGGCUACUCCUUUAGUGUCUGGAAAUCUUUUCAUCCUUUGUCCCCCUCCCCCUGCAGGACUGAGGCUGAGCACACACAGCAGCCACCCCCUGGUUCAUCGAGGGCUCCCCAAGGGAUCUCCAGAAUCAGGGUGAUGGCAUUCACCCCGGUGACCUGGAAGAUCUUCAGAAAGAGCUUGUUUUAUUGAUGAGCUUGUUUUAUUAGAAGCCACCUCAGGAAGCUCUUGGCAAACGCAGAAGGGGAUGAACGAGAGCCCAUGCCCAUCAGAAGUACAGAUCACUGCGGUAGAGACAAUUGGAGAAGAUGGGUCUGUCUGCAAAGACACAAAAGGUCGAGAGUUUACGCCAGUCACCCUCCCAGGCAGCGCCCGGGAAAAUGAGCGACUGUGGUAGCAGCUAGUCAUCUUACGAUUGAUUUAUAAGCAUCGUUGGAGAACUUGAUAUUUGUCUCACUGGGAAGACUUUUUUUUUUAAAUUUAAUAAGAAACAUGUUUCUGCCUUUUG